rnacentral:tRNA from 1 species
AAAUCUUUAGCUUAAUUAAAGUAUCUGCGUUGCAUGCAGAAGAUGUGGGUUUGAAUCCUGUAAGUUUUAUAGGAAUUGAAAGGUUUC